rnacentral:lncRNA from 1 species
CAGCCACAGUUUUUAGCCAAGUAUUCUGAAAUUAGGGCAAGAGGAACUCUACUCAAAAGCAAAAUGGAAGUCCUAACGAGGAGUAUCCCAAUCGCACCAGGCUUCUGUGUAGGGCUCAGGACUCAAGUGGCUGGUCCAGUCCACAGCUCCCUCGGGGAAAUCUAACCUGCUCGACACCCUGGUACUAGAAGAAACCUGCAGUUGCUCAGGACCCUCCCAGGGCGAGUGAAACCCAGUGCAGCUCUCCACAGCCUGCGGCCAGAACCACGCCACUGGCCAAGUCCCAUCAGAGGUGACUCGAGCAAAGGACAGCCGGGCCCGUCCCUUGGCCCCUCACCCCGGAGGGGCUGCAAAGGCCAGUCCUGCCAUUUUUGUCA